rnacentral:rRNA from 1 species
UACGAAGGGGGCUAGCGUUGCUCGGAAUUACUGGGCGUAAAGCGCGCGUAGGCGGACCUGCAAGUCGGGGGUGAAAGCCCGAGGCUCAACCUCGGAACUGCCUUCGAUACUGCGGGUCUCGAGUCCGGGAGAGGUGAGUGGAAUUCCUAGUGUAGAGGUGAAAUUCGUAGAUAUUAGGAAGAACACCAGUGGCGAAGGCGGCUCACUGGCCCGGUGCUGACGCUGAGGCGCGAAAGCGUGGGGAGCAAACAGG